rnacentral:lncRNA from 1 species
GGAACCGGUUCGUGACUAGUUGUUGGCUCUUGUAUUCUCUCUUGCAGUUGUGUUGUCUGGCUUGGCUCUGUAUGGGUUUUUGUUGGCUCUCUUAGUUUUGAUUUCUCCCCAUAGCUGUUUGACUGGGAAUGGCUUGUAGCCAUGGUUUUUUGCUAUUUGUACUAUGUUUGUCAUUUUUUUCUCAAAGGCUUCUGCAGUGUUGCAGUUUGUUGUGGCCCUUUCUAUGUUGUGGUUUUCAUUGUGUGUUUGUUUAUUUGUUUUUUUUUAGUUUUCUGAAAAUCUUUCUAAUAGAUUUCAUAAAUUUUGUGGAUGUGUUGUUUUUUGUGUACUGAGUGAGUCUACCUAGUUCUGUUCUGAUUUUGUUUAUUUGUUUUUCAAGUCGUUUCUGCCAGGCUGGCUUUAAGUGGUGUCUUGUGUUUGUGCCUAGCUUAUUUGGAAGUGUUUUAAGACCUAGGUGUAAAGUGACAGUGACAACAGCUGCAUAAAUAUGUGUGUGUAUUUCUAUGAGUGUUGUUUCUGCAUUAAUAAAUUUUGGUA